GUGUACUGAUGAAUGAGCAGUUCUUACAACCAGGAUAAUCUGAGUGUUUUGUUUUCUACUAUAUUAACCUAAAUUCUCACUAUCCCAGAAAAGCUACUGAAUAUACUUUAUCUACUCAAUAAUAUUUGGGAGAGAAACUUAACUAGCAUUAUUCUACCAGAAAAUAUAGCUAUUGUUUUAAACUCAAACCGAGGUAUAACUAUGCUAAACCCAGAAAUCAAGAGGCAUGUUUAAUACAUCAAUCACAUAGUACAUAUAACAGGGUCUGUACAGAUGCUUCAUAAUGAAAUUCCAGGAUUUUCAAGGACUUUUCAAGCACUGUUUUGUUUUGUUUUGUUUUCAAGGACUAUACAAGAGAUGUCAUUGAAACAUAUCCUUCAUUUCCAAAAAAAAUCUUAAUAAUAAUAAUUUUUUUUAAAACAACCAUUUUUAUAUAGCUCCUUUUCCCAGCCAUGAUGGACUAAAUUUGUAUUUCCCAGUCAUUGCUUCAUUUUCACCAUAAUUUCACCAUUGCAUCGUAUUUUCACUCUGCCUAGUGUCAGCCCUUUAUUACAUCCUACUCUCUGUGCUCACAUGCUGAAUUUUAAUACAGCCGAAUUCCCAAUAAAGCUGUUCUCAUUUACAUAUUUUUUCUGUUUCUGAAAGCAGGACCUCGCACUCGCCGGGCAGUACUGGCCAUUAUCUUCUACAGAAAGUAGCUAAGGUUUGUCCAAAAAAUCGAUAGAUAUAUUGCUAGAUGCUUUAAAAAAAAAAAAAAAAAAAGUUGCUAAAGGGGUCUGAGAAGUGGACCGAAGCUGUCCCUGUUAAAAUGAAUGAGUGAACGGCAGGAGGAGGAGGGGCUGCAGCGGGGAGUCAUAUUUUGAGUGAAAGGAUUGUAUUCGUGUUCUUUUGAAAAUUGUUAUUUUUUAUUUAUUGACUUUUUAUCAUUCAAGCACUUUUUAACCACUGUUACAUAAAAAAUGGCUAUUUUCAAGUGCUACACCCAAACCUCACACAUUUGAUGUUUUUUUUCUUUUUGUUCUUUGAACACUUCUUCUUCUUCCGCUUCUUCUUCUUCUUGUUUCAGAUAUAUUUCUGCCACCUGUAAGUCAGAAUGACAAAAUUCUUGACUGUAAUAUCACUCAGGUAAAAGAAAUAAAUCAAUGAAUUAAUAAAUAAGUAACAGUAAACUGAUUUUCUGCAAAUUUCAUGGAACUAUCA
ensembl:lncRNA